rnacentral:tRNA from 1 species
GCAUUGCUGGUUCAGUGGUAGAAUUCUCGCCUUCCAUGCGGGAGACCUGGGUUGACUUUCAGCCAAUGUA